GCGGGGCGGCGGGAGCGGAGCUGCUCUGGUGCCUCAGUGGUACCUCAAACGGGACCGCGACCGGCAUCGGCCUCUCCCGGCGGGGCCAGCGGCAAGCCCUGCGUCCCUCAGGCGCAGGGAACCGAUGCUGGUUGAGUCGGCUCCACAGCUGCGCCUUCUCCCGCCAUGUUACGGCGAGGCUCCCUCAGGGCCGGUGCCGCUUCCCCCCCGUCCCCAGCGCUGAGCGGCGGCAGGACACGAGCGAGGUGAGGGUGAGGGAAUGGCGCUUCAACCUCAGACCCGGCCCCGAGCGAGCAUGGCAGUGGAUAAAAACAUGAGGUGACCGGCAUGGUGUGACUGCAGAAGUGAAGGGUGAUCCUUCAGAAAAAGGCUGCCCAAGCAAGCUUCAGCCACCUUUCUGACUUGAAACAGCAGCAGUGUGACCAGGCUUUGGGUGUGGCUGAACCGUGUCCCCGAGGCCUGGAGGAGCCCCAGAGCAGAUCAUUCUUGAGCUGCAGAAUGUCUGACAAACUGGUUGGCAGCAUCCACGUCUGAUGGUUUUGGAGAUUCCUAAAACUUGAUCAUCUGUGUUUUCUCUACAUGGUUAAGAAUAAUUUAAAUUUAAAAAAACAACUAAAUAAAGAUGCCAC